rnacentral:tRNA from 1 species
GGGGCUGCAGCUCAGUGGCAGAGCGCUUGCCUAGCAUGCAUGAGGCACUGGGUUCGAUCCUCAGCUCCA